rnacentral:rRNA from 1 species
CCUACGGGAGGCAGCAGUGGGGAAUAUUGCACAAUGGGGGAAACCCUGAUGCAGCGACGCCGCGUGAGUGAAGAAGUAAUUCGUUAUGUAAAGCUCUAUCAGCAGGGAAGAAAAUGACGGUACCUGAGUAAGAAGCCCCGGCUAACUACGUGCCAGCAGCCGCGGUAAUAAGUAGGGGGCAAGCGUUAUCCGGAUUUAAUGGGUGUAAAGGGAGCGUAGGCGGCAGUGCAAGUCUGGAGUGAAAGGCGGGGGCUCAACCCCCGGACUGCUCUGGAAACUGUACGGCUGGAGUGCAGGAGAGGUAAGUGGAAUGCCUAGUGUAGCGGUGAAAUGCGUAGAUAUUAGGAGGAACACCAGUGGCGAAGGCGGCUUACUGGACUGUAACUGACGUUGAGGCUCGAAAGCGUGGGGAGCAAACAGGAUUAGAUACCCCUGUAGUC